rfam:Lupinus angustifolius cultivar Tanjil chromosome LG15, whole genome shotgun sequence.
GCCUUUGAUGAUUUUAUCCAAACUGUUUGAGGUGUUGUGGAGCCAAGAUCCUGAUUUUCAGGGUGAACCUACUUGGUGAAACUACAUUCAUAUGACGUGACUGGAUUUACUGAGGC